rnacentral:rRNA from 1 species
UACGUAGGGUGCAGGCGUUAAUCGGAAUUACUGGGCGUAAAGCGUGCGCAGGCGGCUCCUUAAGUCAGAUGUGAAAUCCCCGGGCUUAACCUGGGAACUGCGUUUGAAACUGAGGAGCUCGAGUGUGGAAGAGGGGGGUGGAAUUCCAGGUGUAGCAGUGAAAAUGCGUAGAGAUCUGGAGGAACACCGAUGGCGAAGGCAGCCCCCUGGGCUAACACUGACGCUCCAUGCACGAAAGCGUGGGGAGCAAACAGG